UAUUAUAUUCAUAAGUCGUCAGGUGGGAAGAGUUCCGAGUAUAUUUUUGACCAUUUACUGGCUCGAAAAUUUUGCAGUGUGUGGCGGUUACCCAUAGUUUUCGAAGUUUUUUAUUUUUUAGAAAACGAUAUUUCCCAAUAUUUUGUUUACCAACCAUACAGUGCUGUACUCUGGCGAGAUAAAUGUGCAGUAAUACUCCCAUCCAAUGACCAAAGAUUCUAUUCUUUAUGAGGUAGUACUUAUUAAAUCCAUGUUUAAGUACUGUCACUGUCACUCGUGUCAUGUCAGUCAAGCAAACAAGUCAACGUUAAAGAAGGUUAAGGAUUGGGGGAGGGUUUUGUUGUUUUGUUUUCUGGGAGGAGCAGGCAAAAAUAAGAAAAUAGAGUGAAUGAACCAGAAAUACCUUGAAAUCUUUGAUUUUAUGUAAAUAAACAACAUUACUAUAUUUUUUAAAAUCUAUACCUAUAUAUCAUACGUACCUACAUAUAAUACAACAAAAAAGGUGAAUUAGAAUAAAGAUAUACUCUCAGGUACGAUUUCUAUGUUAUUAUCUUUCACAUAAUAAAGAAAAAUUCAUUGAUCAAUUUUGCUCAUUAGCAAAAUAAGUGACUGCAGAUACUAAAUUGAACCGGAAAAAUUUGAUAGUAGAAAUACCUGUUUCAUCUUGUCACCAGUCACAUCUGUUGAUGUUAAUAGAAUUGUCUAAGGAAAUGAACACAUUAAAUGAGAAACAAAGCAAGCGGUAUAAAAAAAAGUAUAAGUAUCUCAAAUUAAGAAUUAAAAGUUUAAUUUUAGAAAAUGCAGCCUUGUGUGAUGAAGUUGCUAAAAUUCAAGAAAGCAUACUUAUUGUCAAAGAUGAAAGAAAAUUUUUGCUGCGAAAAUUAUUAGAAUAUGAAAAUGAUAUGGAUAUUUCAGUGACAGUUCCAAAAACUGAGCCUACAGUUACAACCAAUGGUAAUUUAAGAGGAAAAGCUAAGAAACAACCAAGUUUCGAUGAGAGCAAUAAGAAUGUUGUGAUAUCCUAGUCUUAUUUUUUUUCAAUAAAUAAUUUAAAAACACCUUA